AGCAGUGGGGAAUAUUGGACAAUGGGCGAAAGCCUGAUCCAGCAAUGCCGCGUGUGUGAAGAAGGCCUUCGGGUUGUAAAGCACUUUCAGCAGGGAGGAUAAUGACGUUACCUGCAGAAGAAGCACCGGCUAACUUCGUGCCAGCAGCCGCGGUAAUACGAAGGGUGCAAGCGUUAAUCGGAAUUACUGGGCGUAAAGCGCGCGUAGGCGGUUUGUUAAGUCAGAUGUGAAAGCCCUGGGCUCAACCUGGGAAUUGCAUUUGAUACUGGCAGGCUAGAGUGUGGUAGAGGGAAGUGGAAUUCCAGGUGUAGCGGUGAAAUGCGUAGAUAUCUGGAGGAACAUCAGUGGCGAAGGCGACUUCCUGGACCAACACUGACGCUGAGGCGCGAAAGCGUGGGUAGCAAACAGGAUUAGAUACCCUGGUAGUCCACGCCGUAAACGAUGAGAACUAGAUGUUGGGAAGUUUAACUUCUUAGUGUCGCAGCUAACGCGUUAAG
rnacentral:rRNA from 1 species